rnacentral:lncRNA from 1 species
AGAAGAACACAAAUCAAUAAACGAUUUGGUAACAUACCAGAAUAGCUUCCUUCAUAGCUACCUUUGUGAGUUCCCAUCUGUAUAAAUCUUGAGACAUAAGUUCUAUAUCAAAAUUCUCCCAUUUACAUAUAUUUAUGUAUUGUUUCUCAUAACAACAGGUUUGAAAUGAAACAAAUCCAGUUUAUGAAGGAUUACUUACGAGACAUCAUAUUGUUGAGAAGAUGAAGGAGAUUGCAGAGAUGAAUGAGUAUCCAAAUCUUGGAGUAUAUUGAGAAAAGAAGACAAGAAAUCAGGUACCGUAGAAAGAUUUUAGUCCAAAAAUUAUAGAUGUUUGUCAAAUAAAUGGGGCUUCAUGGUAGCCUAUGUUCCUUCUCUGCUCUCCAUUUUUGUUAUGUCCUUAUCUCUCUCUCUUUGAUAGCACCAGUUGUAUAGUCUGAUAACAAACAUUUUACAAGUUAUAACAGAAACAAGAUCCAAGAUCCAGAAGCAUUGUCAGGGUCAUGUCUGGCUCAUGUUACAAUAAUGUAAGCAUCUAGACGAAAAGGUUCUGCUUAUUCGUAUCUCUAAUUAAAUUAAACUAUAAUAAUUAGUCUCUUGAUUUUAAUUUACAGACUCAAAAGAAAAAGACUAUCAAG